GAUGAACGCUGGCGGCGUGCCUAAUACAUGCAAGUCGAGCGAACGGACGAGAAGCUUGCUUCUCUGAUGUUAGCGGCGGACGGGUGAGUAACACGCGGAUAACCUACCUAUAAGACUGGGAUAACUUCGGGAAACCGGAGCUAAUACCGGAUAAUAUUUUGAACCGCAUGGUUCAAAAGUGAAAGACGGUCUUGCUGUCACUUAUAGAUGGAUCCGCGCUGCAUUAGCUAGUUGGUAAGGUAACGGCUUACCAAGGCAACGAUGCAUAGCCGACCUGGGAGGGUGAUCGGCCACACUGGAACUGAGACACGGUCCAGACUCCUACGGGAGGCAGCAGUAGGGAAUCUUCCGCAAUGGGCGAAAGCCUGACGGAGCAACGCCGCGUGAGUGAUGAAGGUCUUCGGAUCGUAAAACUCUGUUAUUAGGGAAGAACAUAUGUGUAAGUAACUGUGCACAUCGUGACGGUACCUAAUCAGAAAGCCACGGCUAACUACGUG
rnacentral:rRNA from 1 species